UACGAAGGGGGCUAGCGUUGCUCGGAAUGACUGGGCGUAAAGGGUGCGUAGGCUGCAUCGUAAGUUAGAUGUGAAAUUCCUGGGCUUAACCUGGGGGCUGCAUUUGAGACUGCGAAGCUAGAGGAUGGAAGAGGCUUGUGGAAUUCCCAGUGUAGAGGUGAAAUUCGUAGAUAUUGGGAAGAACACCGGUGGCGAGGGCGGCAAGCUGGUCCAUUACUGACGCUGAGGCACGAUAGCGUGGGGAGCAAACAGG
rnacentral:rRNA from 1 species